AAUGGAGAAUGAUACCCCAGACUCAAAGAGUAUGCAAAAGCAGAAAGAUAUAUUCUACAGUAAUCCAGCAUGCAGGGGACUACCAUUCAUCAAAAUGGUAACUAGGAGACUAAGAAAGCAACUUACUCCAGAGACCCAGUAGAAAAGUCCUACAAGGGAUGGAACAGUGAGCUACGCCCCCAGACACAAAUGCUUGACACCACACCCUCAACUUCAUCAUUCUGUGGCCAUCAGUCACAUAGGCUGUCCAAGCUCUACCCCCACAGUUACCUGGAAAUAGCCAGGAUCCACCUGGCUGGAGCAAUGGAGCAGGUUUCCCUCUAAGGAGCUGUGCAUCUAAUCUCCAGUUGGGAGGCCUUCCUGCGCUCUAGCCAUGGGCUACAGCCAAACCAAGCCACCUGCUGAGCUAGCAGACUGAGCUAGCCAGACUCUGGACUGUUGGAGACCAUACCGUGAGAAAGUUUGCGGUUCCCCUCGUACUCACAAAUAACUGGGUCCUGCUGGUCGGGACACUGGACGACCCAGAAACCACCCAGCACCUCUCAUGCCCCUUUUCCCUUCGGCCCUGGGACACUGGUGCCCCAACUCUUUCUCAGCUCUUCCUCUGUGUCCCAAGAGCUAGAACCUGUCAUCCCUGGCUUCUGUGAGGCCCAGGGACCCCAGACUGCUCCCUCUCCACCCCCACAGACUGGGGUUCCGUGGCUUCCCAUAGCCAGACGGCCACCCAGGCAGCGUGAAGAGCACGACGUGGUAGUUCCCCACAUCCGCCUGCCCAGAGCCCCGGAGCUCUAGUGGGACGAGGGUCAUCUCUCCCACCCACUUUAUUUCCCCACGUCUGGCGCCUGACACUAUGUCUUCACUAAUUGUUCAACACUGAACUGCUAAAAAUGCAGAUAAGUAACAGUAUGCUUGAUAGGU